rnacentral:rRNA from 1 species
UACGAAGGGGGCUAGCGUUGUUCGGAAUCACUGGGCGUAAAGGGCGCGUAGGCGGAUCUUUAAGUCGGGGGUGAAAGCCCAGGGCUCAACCCUGGAAUUGCCUUCGAUACUGGAGAUCUUGAGACCGGAAGAGGUAAGUGGAACUGCGAGUGUAGAGGUGAAAUUCGUAGAUAUUCGCAAGAACACCAGUGGCGAAGGCGGCUUACUGGUCCGGUUCUGACGCUGAGGCGCGAAGGCCAGGGGAGCAAACGGG